UGCGAACUCCUACGGGAGGCAGCAGUGGGGAAUUUUGGACAAUGGGGGCAACCCUGAUCCAGCCAUGCCGCGUGUCUGAAGAAGGCCUUCGGGUUGUAAAGGACUUUUGUCCGGGAAGAAAAGCGCGAUGUUAAUACCAUUGCGUGCUGACGGUACCGGAAGAAUAAGCACCGGCUAACUACGUGCCAGCAGCCGCGGUAAUACGUAGGGUGCGAGCGUUAAUCGGAAUUACUGGGCGUAAAGCGAGCGCAGACGGUUACUUAAGCAGGAUGUGAAAUCCCCGGGCUCAACCUGGGAACUGCGUUCUGAACUGGGUGACUAGAGUGUGUCAGAGGGAGGUAGAAUUCCACGUGUAGCAGUGAAAUGCGUAGAGAUGUGGAGGAAUACCGAUGGCGAAGGCAGCCUCCUGGGAUAACACUGACGUUCAUGCUCGAAAGCGUGGGUAGCAAACAGGAUUAGAUACCCUUGUAGUCCAGAAGUG
rnacentral:rRNA from 1 species